UGGCUCAGAUUGAACGCUGGCGGCAGGCCUAACACAUGCAAGUCGAGCGGAUGAAGGGAGCUUGCUCCUGGAUUCAGCGGCGGACGGGUGAGUAAUGCCUAGGAAUCUGCCUGGUAGUGGGGGAUAACGUCCGGAAACGGGCGCUAAUACCGCAUACGUCCUGAGGGAGAAAGUGGGGGAUCUUCGGACCUCACGCUAUCAGAUGAGCCUAGGUCGGAUUAGCUAGUUGGUGGGGUAAAGGCCUACCAAGGCGACGAUCCGUAACUGGUCUGAGAGGAUGAUCAGUCACACUGGAACUGAGACACGGUCCAGACUCCUACGGGAGGCAGCAGUGGGGAAUAUUGGACAAUGGGCGAAAGCCUGAUCCAGCCAUGCCGCGUGUGUGAAGAAGGUCUUCGGAUUGUAAAGCACUUUAAGUUGGGAGGAAGGGCAGUAAGUUAAUACCUUGCUGUUUUGACGUUACCAACAGAAUAAGCACCGGCUAACUUCGUGCCAGCAGCCGCGGUAAUACGAAGGGUGCAAGCGUUAAUCGGAAUUACUGGGCGUAAAGCGCGCGUAGGUGGUUCAGCAAGUUGGAUGUGAAAUCCC
rnacentral:rRNA from 1 species